rnacentral:rRNA from 1 species
AAUCAACGCUGGCGGCGCGCUUAACACAUGCAAGUCGAACGAGAAAGCACCUUCGGGUGUGAGUAAAGUGGCGCACGGGUGAGUAACACGUGGGUUACCUGCCCUUCGGUGGGGAAUAACCUUGGGAAACCGAGGCUAAUACCGCAUAUCUCCGCGAGGAGAAAGUCUUCGGACGCCGAAGGAGGGGCCCGCGGCCGAUUAGCUUGUUGGCGGGGUAAAAGCCCACCAAGGCAACGAUCGGUAGCCGGCCUGAGAGGGCACACGGCCACACUGGCACUGAGACACGGGCCAGACUCCUACGGGAGGCAGCAGUGGGGAAUCUUGCACAAUGGGGGAAACCCUGAUGCAGCGACGCCGCGUGAGUGAUGACGCCCUUCGGGGUGUAAAGCUCUUUCAGCGGGAACGAUUAUGACGGUACCCGCAGAAGAAGCUGCGGCUAACUACGUGCCAGCAGCCGCGGUAAUACGUAGGCAGCAAGCGUUGUUCGGAGUUACUGGGCGUAAAGAGUGUGUAGGCGGUUCGGUAAGUUCGGUGUGAAAUCUCCCGGCUCAACUGGGAGGGAGCGCCGGAAACUG